rnacentral:rRNA from 1 species
UGCCAGCAGCCGCGGUAACACGGGGGGCGCAAGCGUUAUUCGGAAUUAUUGGGCGUAAAGGGCGCGUAGGCGGUCUUGUCGGUCGGAUGUGAAAACUCAGGGCUCAACCCUGAGACGCCAUCCGAUACUGCGCUGACUAGAGUCCGGUAGAGGAGUGUGGAAUUCCUAGUGUAGCGGUGAAAUGCGCAGAUAUUAGGAGGAACACCUAUUGCGAAGGCAGCACUCUGGGCCGGUACUGACACUGAGGAGCGAAAGCGUGGGUAGCAAACAGGAUUAGAUA